rnacentral:rRNA from 1 species
ACUCCUACGGGAGGCAGCAGUGGGGAAUAUUGCACAAUGGGCGCAAGCCUGAUGCAGCCAUGCCGCGUGUGUGAAGAAGGCCUUCGGUUGUAAAGCACUUUCAGUCGUGAGGAAGGCGGGUACGGUUAAUAGCGUAUUCGUUUGACGUUAGCGACAGAAGAAGCACCGGCUAACUCCGUGCCAGCAGCCGCGGUAAUACGGAGGUGCGAGCGUUAAUCGGAAUUACUGGGCGUAAGCGCAUGCAGGUGGUUUGUUAAGUCAGAUGUGAAAGCCCGGGGGCUCAACCUCGGAAUAGCAUUUGAAACUGGCAGACUAGAGUACUGUAGAGGGGGUAGAAUUUCAGGUGUAGCGGUGAAAUGCGUAGAGAUCUGAAGGAAUACCGGUGGCGAAGGCGGCCCCCUGGACAGAUACUGACACUCAGAUGCGAAAGCGUGGGGAGCAAACAGGAUUAGAUACCCUGGUAGGACAG